rnacentral:rRNA from 1 species
AUGGCCGCCGUGUCCAUGGCCCUGUCCCGACCGCUCGCCGCACGGCAUUCCGCUCACCACCUGCAGCUGCACCACCUCCUCGCCGUCUCCACCUCGCCGCCGCGGCUGCCUCUGCUCCCGCGUGGGCCGCCAGCCGGGAUCGCGCCUCUGCACCUCCCUCGCGGCGGCGGCACGGCCAGGAGGAUCAUGCCCGUCUGCCCCAGGCUUGGGUCGGGCGGAUCGGACGACCUGGCCCCGACGCCCAAGUCGGAACGCACCAUGACGGGCUUCGACCUGGCCAGCCUCUGGGUGGGCCUCGUCGUCGGCGUGCCGGCCUACUACCUCGCCGGCAGCCUCGUCGACCUCGGCAUGUCGGCGAUCCAGGGCGUAGCCACAGUCACGCUCGCCAACCUCAUCGUGCUCGCCACGCUCGUGCUCACGGCCGCGCCGGCCGUCACGCACGGGCUGCCGUUCCCGGUGCUCGCGCGCGCCGCCUUCGGGGUUCACGGCGCGCACGUCCCGGCCGUCGUCCGCGCGGUCAUCGGCUGCGGGUGGUUCGGGAUCGAGUCGUGGAUCGGCGGCAGAGCCAUCUUCCUCCUCCUGCCGGCGUGGCUCAAGACCCACGCGCCGCUGCUGAAGCCGGUGCCCGGCCUCGGGGCCUCGCCGCUCGAGAUCGCGUGCCUCCUCGUCUUCUCGGCCGCGCAGCUCGCCGUCAUCAUGCGCGGCAUGGACGGCAUCCGCAAGCUCGAGAAAUACGCAGCACCGGUGCUCGUCGCGCUCACCUCCGCGUUGCUGGCCUGGGCCUACGUCUCCGCCGGCGGUUUCGGGCCCAUCCUCUCGCUUCCGCCGCGGCUGGUCGGCGGCGACUUUUGGCAGCUCUUCUUCCCGGCGCUCACCGCCAACAUCAGUUUCUGGUCGACGGUGGCCAUCAAUAUCCCGGAUUUCGCGCGGUACGCCCGGAGCCAGACGGACCAGGUGCUCGGCCAGAUCGGGCUGCCGGUGUUCAUGGGCAUGUUCACCUUCGCCGGCCUCGCCAUAACCUCCUCCACCGAGGCCAUCUUCGGCCAGGUCAUCUCCGACCCCAUCGACCUCCUCAGCCGCAUCGGCGGGCCCGCCACCAGGGUCCUCGCCAUCUUUGGCAUCACCCUAGCCAUCAUCACCACCAACAUCGCCGCCAACGUCGUCGCGCCGGCGAACACCCUCGUCGCGCUCGCGCCGCAGACAUUCACGUUCGCCAAGGGCGCGCUCGCCACGGCGCUGCUCGGCAUCGCCUUGCAGCCGUGGCGGCUGCUCGGCUCCAGCGAGAGCUUCGUCUUCACCUGGCUGCUGGGAAAUGCGGCGCUCAUGGGGCCCAUCGGAGGCGUCGUGCUCGCCGAUCACUAUAUAGUGCGGCGUACCGCGUUGGACGUCGACGCGCUCUACUCGGAGGAAGCCGGCAGCCCGUACUACUUCCAGGGCGGCUUCAACGUUGCCGCGAUGGUGGCGAUGGCGGCAGGAUUCGCCGCCGUCAUGCCGGGGUUCUUGCACAAGGUCGGGGUGCUGCCGACAAUGUCCAAGGCACUCGUCGUGGCCUAUGACAACGCCUGGUUCGUCAGUUUCUUCAUCGCCGGCGCCGUCUACUCCCUGCUGCGUCUCCGGAGAGGGGUUGAAGUGAAACGACAGUACAGUCGUGCCACUUCAUACUCCUACUAG